rnacentral:rRNA from 1 species
GACGAACGCUGGCGGCGUGCUUAACACAUGCAAGUCGAGCGGAGCGGCGAACGGGUGAGUAACGCGUGAGUAACUGCCCCCCUCUCUGGGAUCACAGUUGGGAACGGCUGCUAAUACCGGAUAGUGGGGGAUGACUCGCGUCCUAUCGGUUUGUUGGUGGGGUGAUGGCGUACCAAGGCGGUGACGGGUGGCCGGCCUGAGAGGCCGACCGGCGACUGAGAGCGGAGAAGCGGCCCAGAGGCGUACGGAGGGGAGAAUUGUGGGAAAUGGAAGAAUGGGCGAAAGCCUGAUGCAGCGAGGCGCGUGGGGGAUGAAGGCUUUCGGGUUGUACUAUGCAAUCGAACAAGCCUGGGUAGGUGGAGAAGAAGCGCCGGCUAACUACGUGCCAGCAGCCGCGGUAAUUC